GAUGAACGCUGGCGGCGUGCUUAACACAUGCAAGUCGAACGAUGAAGCCCAGCUUGCUGGGUGGAUUAGUGGCGAACGGGUGAGUAACACGUGAGUAACCUGCCCUUAACUCUGGGAUAAGCCUGGGAAACUGGGUCUAAUACCGGAUAGGAGCGUCCACCGCAUGGUGGGUGUUGGAAAGAUUUAUCGGUUUUGGAUGGACUCGCGGCCUAUCAGCUUGUUGGUGAGGUAAUGGCUCACCAAGGCGACGACGGGUAGCCGGCCUGAGAGGGUGACCGGCCACACUGGGACUGAGACACGGCCCAGACUCCUACGGGAGGCAGAAGUGGGGAAUAUUGCACCAUGGGCGCAAGCCUGAUGCAGCGACGCCGCGUGAGGGAUGACGGCCUUCGGGUUGUAAACCUCUUUCAGUAGGGAAGAAGCGAAAGUGACGGUACCUGCAGAAGAAGCACCGGCUAACUACGUG
rnacentral:rRNA from 1 species